CCCUUGUACACACCGCCCGUCACACCACGAAAAGCUGGUUGCACCAGAAGCCGGUGACCCAACCGCAAGGAGGGAGCCGUCCAAGGUUUGACUGGUGAUUGGGGUG
rnacentral:rRNA from 1 species